UGCCAGCCGCCGCGGUAAUACGGAGGGGGUUAGCGUUGUUCGGAAUUACUGGGCGUAAAGCGGGUGUAGGCGGAUUGGUCAGUCAGAGGUGAAAGCCCAGGGCUCAACCCUGGAAUAGCCUUCGAUACUGCCAGUCUUGAGUAUGGGAGAGGUGAGCGGAAUUCCGAGUGUAGAGGUGAAAUUCGUAGACAUUCGGAGGAACACCAGAGGCGAAGGCGGCUCACUGGACCAUUACUGACGCUGAGAUCCGAAAGCUAGGGUAGCGAACGGGAUUAGAUA
rnacentral:rRNA from 1 species